rnacentral:rRNA from 1 species
CCUACGGGAGGCAGCAGUCGAGAAUCAUUCACAAUGGGGGAAACCCUGAUGGUGCGACGCCGCGUGAGGGAAUGAAGGUCUUCGGAUUGUAAACCCCUGUCAUGUGGGAGCAAAUUAAAAAGAUAGUACCACAAGAGGAAGAGACGUCAAACUCUGUGCAAGCAGCAGCGGUAAUACAGAGGUCUCAAGCUUUGUUCGGAAUCACUGGGCGUAACGCGUGCGUUGGCUGUUUCGUAAGUCGUGGGUGAAAGGCGCGGGCUCAACCCGCGGACGGCACAUGAUACUGCGAGACUAGGGUAAUGGAGGGGGAACCGAAAUUCUCGGUGUAGCAGUGAAAUGCGUAGAUAUCGAGAGGAACACUGGUGGCGAAGGCGGGUUCCUGGACAUUAACUGACGCUGGGGCACGAAGGCCAGGGGAGCGAAAGGGAUUAGAUACCCUGUAGUC